rnacentral:rRNA from 1 species
AGAGUUGAUCAUGGCUCAGGACGAACGCUGGCGGCGUGCCUAACACAUGCAAGUCGAACGGAAGCAAGCGCUGAUGAAGCUUCGGCAGAUCUUGCUACUUAGUGGCGGACGGGCGAGUAACGCGUGAGCAACCUGCCCUUCAGAGGGGGACAACAGUUGGAAACGACUGCUAAUACCGCAUAACGUAUCGGUAUGGCAUCAUACUGAUACCAAAGGAGCAAUCCGCUGAAGGAUGGGCUCGCGUCCGAUUAGGUAGUUGGUGAGGUAACAGCCCACCAAGCCGACGAUCGGUAGCCGAACUGAGAGGUUGAUCGGCCGCAUUGGGACUGAGACACGGCCCAGACUCCUACGGGAGGCAGCAGUGGGGGAUAUUGCACAAUGGGGGAAACCCUGAUGCAGCAACGCCGCGUGAGGGAAGACGGUCUUCGGAUUGUAAACCUAAGUUGUCAGGGACGAUAAUGACGGUACCUGAAGAGAAAGCUCCGGCUAACUACGUGCCAGCCGCGGC